rnacentral:rRNA from 1 species
GUAGGGAUACCCGCUGAACUUAAGCAUAUCAAUAAGCGGAGGAAAAGAAACCAACUGGGAUUGCCUUAGUAACGGCGAGUGAAGCGGCAAUAGCUCAAAUUUGAAAGCUGGCCCCUUUGGGGUCCGCGUUGUAAUUUGUAGAGGAUGAUUCGGCGAGGGCUCCCGUCUAAGUCCCCUGGAACGGGGCGUCAUAGAGGGUGAGAAUCCCGUAUGUGAUGGGUUGCCUUAGCCAUGUGAAUCUCCUUCGACGAGUCGAGUUGUUUGGGAAUGCAGCUCUAAAUGGGAGGUAAAUUUCUUCUAAAGCUAAAUACCGGCCAGAGACCGAUAGCGCACAAGUAGAGUGAUCGAAAGAUGAAAAGCACUUUGGAAAGAGAGUUAAAAAGUACGUGAAAUUGUUGAAAGGGAAGCGCUUGCAGCCAGACUUGUCCGCAGUUGCUCAGCCGGUCUCCUGACCGGCGUACUCUUCUGCGGCCAGGCCAGCAUCAGUUCGGGCGGUCGGAUAAAGACCUCGGGAAUGUAGCUCCUCUCGGGGAGUGUUAUAGCCCGGGGUGGAAUGCGGCCAGCCUGGACUGAGGAUCUCGCUUCGGCUAGGAUGCUGGCGUAAUGGCUGUAAGCGGCCCGUCUUGAAACACGGACCAAGGAGUCUAACAUCUAUGCGAGUGUUUGGGUGUCAAACCCAUACGCGUAAUGAAAGUGAACGGAGGUGGGAACCCUCACGGGUGCACCAUCGACCGAUCCUGAUGUCUUCGGAUGGAUUUGAGUAUGAGCAUAGCUGUUGGGACCCGAAAGAUGGUGAACUAUGCCUGAAUAGGGUGAAGCCAGAGGAAACUCUGGUGGAGGCUCGCAGCGGUUCUGACGUGCAAAUCGAUCGUCAAAUUUGGGUAUAGGGGCGAAAGACUAAUCGAACCAUCUAGUAGCUGGUUCCUGCCGAAGUUUCCCUCAGGA